rnacentral:rRNA from 1 species
UACGAAGGGGGCUAGCGUUGUUCGGAAUCACUGGGCGUAAAGGGCGCGUAGGCGGCUUUAUAAGUCGGGGGUGAAAGCCUGUGGCUCAACCACAGAAUUGCCUUCGAUACUGUAUGGCUUGAGACCGGAAGAGGUAAGUGGAACUGCGAGUGUAGAGGUGAAAUGCGUAGAUAUCGAGAGGAACACCUGCGGCGAAGGCGGGUUGCUGGGCUGAUACUGACGCUGAGGCGCGAAAGCCAGGGGAGCGAACGGG